rnacentral:tRNA from 1 species
GGUGGUAUAGCUCAGUGGUAGAGUGCGUGCUUAGCAUGUAUGAGGUCCUACGUUCAAUCCCCAGUACCUCCA